rnacentral:tRNA from 1 species
AAAAUCCGUCGACUUUAGAAAUCGUGAGGGUUCAAGUCCCUCUAUCCCCCCAAAAAGACCGAUUUGACUAUUUCUCCUACCCUCUCUUUUUUUUAGUGGUUCAAAAUUCGUUCUCUUUCUCAUUCAUUCUACCUUUUUACAAACGUAUCAGAGCAGAAUUUUUUUUUCUUUUAUCACAAUCACAAGUGGUGUGGUAUAUAUGAUAUACGUACAAAUGAACAUCUUUGAACAAAGAAUCCCGAUUCACAAUUCAUAUCAUUGCUCAUACUGAAACUUAUAAAUUAUUCUAUUCAAGAAAUCGAAUUCCACGCUCAAGACUUUUAAUACUUUUUUUAUCUUUUUUAAUUGACAUAGACCCCAGUCAUCUAGUAAAAUGAGGAUGAUGCGCCGGUAAUGGUCGGGAUAGCUCAGCUGGUAGAGCAGAGGACUGAAAAUCCUCGU